AACUAAUAAUAGAUACUAUAUCACAAUUCGGGUAUAGGACUACGGAUCAAUAUUUUCCGCGUUUCGAUAUCGUUAGAUAAAAUGAAGUUUACUGUAUUGUUUUUUACAGCAGUUGUGAUAUUAAUUACGUUAGGAAAUGUGUAUGCAAGUUCAGGCACUAAGGAUGCCGAUGAGAAAUUAUCAUGUAACCCGUAUAGCGCUCUUAUCAUAUGGCACACGGGUAGCGGAGAAGAUAAUUCCUUUUUUCAACAGAGAAGAUUGUUGGUAAUGUUAAUAAGUGACUUUCCUGAAAACACAAGUGUAUCAAUCGUCACAAUUGGCGCUAAAGAGGAUAUAAGACUACAGUUUAGAAAACAAGAUAGAAUUGCGAAUUGGAGAGACAAAAUUUUACAACAUGUGCCGGGAACGGCAUCGAAUCAUACAUUAUCUUACACAGAAAUACAAAAGGCAAUACUAUACCAUAAGACUAAUUCUAGUGAAGCAGAACUUGUUUAUCUACUAGUUAAUGAUAAAACUGUAAUACGCGGUGUCGAAAACAAUGGUUUUGAAGAGCUUCGGAAAAAGAAAACUUUUGUUGUGUUAUGUGAAAUACAAACGGAAAAUAGAUCACAAACGUGGAUAAAAUUUGCUAGCAAAAAAUUAUUUUAUUGCAUUGGACAGUAUAACAGGGGAUGUCAAUAAAACGAAGGAAAUAAUUCUGGCCAGGUCCUGUCAAGAUUCAAAAUAUGUCUGCGACACUGAUAUGUACUGGUCAAGUGAUAGGGAAGGAUGCAAUACAUGCACAUAUAUAUGUUCCAGUACCUGCAAGGUGCAACCGGAGUAUUGCUUUAAUGCUUGUCCAUUUUUUCACAAAUAUUUUCUGGACAAUGCUGGAAAAAUAAACAAGGACAAAGAUUGCAAUAGUGAACCAUUACAAGACCAUGCUAGGCAAGUAUCUGAUAAUAAAUCUUGCAUGUCUUGGCUAAUUAUUAUCAUUGUAUGCAUACUAUUAUCAGGUAUUGUUACCCUCGUAUGCAAGCAAAAAGAAAGGUUAUUGAGCUCUCUAAAUUCUGCAUGGAGACAUUUUAUGGAAAGAAGAUCCCCUUUUCCUGCAAGAUACACAAACGACGAGAUCAGUGAACUUAAGGAUCACUGAAACAAUUGACAAUGUAAAAGUUCAUCUACUUAAACCUAUCAUAGACGCAAACAUGAGUAACACCGUAGCUCACAUCGUGUCAGUGAACCAGAAUUGACUGUCUUACAUUAACACUGAGAUACAACAAACAUGACUGCAUAUAGUGAACCUAGUAAUUGUUAUUAAUGUUAUGUAGUGAUGGGAAUUCUAAUUAACAUAUGUUGGUUUAAACAUAUUUAUUUAAGCUCAAUUUCAAAACAAGUUCUUGAAACUUAUAUUAAUUAACUUAAUCACUUUCGACUUUCGACUAUACAUGUACUGGGUCUUUGGUUUUUUUCUGAAAUCAGACUGAGAAAAGCUUCGGAAACAAACAACCGACAUACAAAAAUUAUCAUUUAUCUUAAAUAAAAACAUUUAUGGAUGCGACAUAUUAUUAUAUCCAAGAAUUAUAGUGGUGUUAGCUUACAGUCCGGUAUUACAAUAGCAAACGGGUGUUAGAUCGCUGUCCG